rnacentral:rRNA from 1 species
UACGGGGGGGGCAAGCGUUGUUCGGAAUUACUGGGCGUAAAGGGCUCGUAGGCGGCCAACUAAGUCAGACGUGAAAUCCCUCGGCUUAACCGGGGAACUGCGUCUGAUACUGGAUGGCUUGAGGUUGGGAGAGGGAUGCGGAAUUCCAGGUGUAGCGGUGAAAUGCGUAGAUAUCUGGAGGAAUACCGGUGGCGAAGGCGGCAUCCUGGACCGGCAUUGACGCUGAUGAGCGAAAGCCAGGGGAGCAAACGGG